rnacentral:rRNA from 1 species
GGCUUAGAGUUUGAUCAUGGCUCAGGAUAAACGCUGGCGGCGCACAUAAGACAUGCAAGUCGAACGGACUUAAUCGAUUCUUUUAGAUUCGAAGCGGUUAGUGGCGGACUGGUGAGUAACACGUAAGCAACCUGCCUAUUAGAGGGGAAUAACAGUGAGAAAUCACUGCUAAAACCGCAUAUGCCGUGAACAUCGCAUGAUGAAAACGGGAAAAGAGCAAUCUGCUAAUAGAUGGGCUUGCGUCUGAUUAGCUAGUUGGUGUGGUAAUGGCAUACCAAGGCAACGAUCAGUAGCCGGACUGAGAGGUUGAACGGCCACAUUGGGACUGAGAUACGGCCCAGACUCCUACGGGAGGCAGCAGUCGGGAAUAUUGCGCAAUGGAGGAAACUCUGACGCAGUGACGCCGCGUAUGGGAAGAAGGUUUUCGGAUUGUAAACCAUUUUAGACAAGGAAGAAAGAAGACAGUACUUGUAGAAUAAGCUCCGGCUAACUACGUGCCAGCAGCCGCGGUAAUACGUAGGGAGCAAGCGUUAUCCGGAUUUAUUGGGUGUAAAGGGUGCGUAGACGGGAAGGUAAGUUAGUUGUGAAAUCCCUCGGCUCAACUGAGGAACUGCGACUAAAACUGCUUUUCUUGAGUGCUGGAGAGGAAAGU